ACUACUGCAAAGACCCCCCCAGACCUGGAUGCGGUGACACUGGGCCUGUCGUGUCUGCUGGUGGUGCUGCUGCUGGGACUGGGGGCACUGGGACUGCUGGGACACCACCGGCUCCUGAGGGAGAAGCUGUGGCCGCCGGUGCCAGGCCCCGAGCGGGAGUUCGAGGGGCUCUUCAGUGCCUAUGGGGGCAACUUCCAGGUGGGGGAGCUUUGGGGGGGGG